AAGAGACGUUGCCCUUCGGGGUAUACCUCCCACCCUUUGUUUAUUAUACCUUUGUUGCUUUGGCGGGCCCGUCCUCGGACCACCGGCUUCUGCUGGUCAGUGCCCGCCAGAGGACCCUAAACUCUGUUUGUUAAUAUUGUCUGAGUACUAUAUAAUAGUUA
rnacentral:misc_RNA from 1 species